GGGUCGGUGCCCGAGCGGACAAAGGGAGCAGACUGUAAAUCUGCCGGCUGACGCCUACGGAGGUUCGAAUCCUUCCCGGCCCA
rnacentral:tRNA from 1 species